GUAAGACGUUAAUGUGAUGGAACACGUGGCGGAUAUCAGUGGCGAGAGAGGUGUAGACGUGGCAUUGAUAAGUAGGGGGGCUCUUUUGUACGUUGUCGUUUCGUGUUACGUGUAAAUUGCUAUAUUUGAUAUUUAAAAAAAAAAAGGAAAAUAUGGUGGGGGCUGGGGUUGGGUAUGGGGGAAGGCAGACGAGAAAAGGAAAUGUGAAUGUUGGGAUAAUAUAUAUAAAUAAAAUAUAUGAAUAUUUAAAGAAGUGAAAAAUUUUAAAAAUGUUUUUUUUUAUUAUCUUUUUUAUAUUUAAUGAUGAGAGGAUAAGGUUUAAAGGUAAAGAGGGAGGAAUUUGUUUGAUCUGAAUGAUGGAGAAAGUUGCUGGGGACAUGGGGAACCAUGAUAAUGGAUGAUGUUUCAUUUCAUAAUAUCUUUUACCUUAAAAUUAAAAUUAUAUUAAAUGGUAAAUUACGAUGUG
rnacentral:lncRNA from 1 species